GUUGGAAGCACAGUGAGAGAGUCAGGGAUGCACAUAAAGCAAAAAUGCCUAAUUUGACCUUGCCCGGUGUAAUCUAAAAUAUCUCUCCACUGCAGCUCCUAGGGAGCACAGGGUAGCCGCGCAGCCCUAGCGGCACCAGGCACGUGGUGGGACCCCAUCCCAUUAAAAUAGCCUGUUAUCAGGCGCGCUCUCUCUCUCUCUCUCUCUUUUUUUUUUUUUUUUUUUUGCAAGUCCCCGGGUUUCAAUCACAGCCUCACAAUUAACACUGGGCAGAUCGGGUGUGCACUCUGUCUUGCCUGGGGCAUUGCUUCUAUGAGAUCUAAACCAAAGGCCAAAAGAAUGGCUAUUUAUUACGGGAGGGCGCACACCUCGUCAAAGAUAAUAUGCGAGCCACGCAAAGCACGCCGACUUGGGCAGAGGCGGACCCACCAGCCCGCCACCUUCAAGGGCGCGACCUUCUAGGAAGCUCUGCUCAGAGUGAAAGCGGGGACCCCAGGUCACCCUAUGCAACCACAGAGAAGGCAUCUUCAACUGCGACAGCAGCCGGAUCGGGCACCAACUACCUCCCCGCUCUGCGUUCAUUCAAACCCUCAGGGAGCCGGGUAGUGAGAAGACUGGUUUGGUGAGAAACUGCAAAUCUAUCAAACAGAAAGGCAUAGCUGCUCACCCUCUCCCAGCUGCCUCAAGGUGUUUGAGGCUACCUUGGGCUCCUGGGACUUCUAACUGGAGGAGAGACGACAUCACAUCACCAGUGGAAAAGCAGAUGAUCAUUUGUAGACUCAGAGUGGAUCUGAGGACCAUGCUAUGAUCCUCCUGCAAUUAUUGAAACUGGCCAGAAAAUAGAAUUUGUUAGCCACUAAGUAUUAACUCAUUUAGUCCUCAUGGGAAUACCAUUUGCGACAGAUUGAAAUGUAGCUUUUACAGAUGUGUUAGUUGAAGACAAGGGUGGUUGAGCAAGCUGUUGAGAAGCUGGAUAACAGUGGGCUGGAGUUGCACCUGACCACCGGAGCCGCAGAGCACAACUUCAUAACCGCAGUGCUGCGCUCUCCGCCUCACUGAAUGCGCUGUAUCACACGCCUCCCAUGGGGGCGCGGGAAACGGACCCUUCCUUUUCUGCCCUCAGUGCUCACUGUCUUGUGAAGCUGAGCCUCUGUGGAGUUCCUGGCCUCAGAAUACGGGGAUUUUCCAAAAGGAAACCAAGCCAAACCUGGCCUUAGUCAAGAAGAAAGGGCCCUUUCUUUCGCUUUGUUACCAGCUUAUUUUGCUCAUGCAUUGCCAAUUCAAGUUGCAUUCCCACCCAGAACAGAGAAGAAAAAAAAAGAAACUGUACCUGAAAAGGGUUCAUUUGCCCUGAGAACAUGACAUCGACGCCCCCUACUCCCCGGUAGUGCCUGUUAUUCAUAAAGAAAUGUAGGUCAUGAUUUCAACUAAUAACCUGGGGUAGAAAGGCCCUUUUGGAAUUGCUAAUUAAACUGAUGAGCACGUUCGAUGAUAAUCACUUCCACUUAUCAUCCUGCUAUAACCACAUCCCUUUUCUUACCUGUCACUUCGUGUUCUGUUUAUCAUCAUGACACUGGCACCCUGGCUCAAGACGGGGCUUGUGAUGGAGUCGCCCGCAUUUUCUUUGCUCUAUUUGUUCUGUGGUUCCUCCUUCCUUGAGCCCUCAAGAGGGAGACUCCCUCAGAUGCUUAACUUUCUCCUGUGAGUUGUCCAGUGGCCCCACCAUUGACCAGACUCCCUAAAGCCACUCGCUUCCAUAAACCUUUUCUAGUCUUCCUGGUGAUGACCUCAGAGCUUCCCUCUGGGACAAAGUUAAAGAUUUAUUUUUAUCCUGCCUCCUGCGUGCGUGGGUAGGGGAGUUGGGGUAGGGAAAGAGUGAGUCUGUCCCUCGUGGGUGGGGGGUACCUGCAGAGGCAAGGAAUUAAAGGCUCUGGAGCCAGAGUUACAGACAGUUGCGAGCCACCAGAGGUGGGUACUCGGAACGUAACCCUUGGAAGAGCUGUCUCACCCAGUCAGCCAUCUCUCUGGCCCCAUGGGGCAGGUUUGACGGCGCUACCUUCUCAGUGUCAGACUACCUUGCGCUCUUGCUCUGAGGUCAUUGUUAUGUCACCUUUGGAGUAGCCUAAGAAAAAUGUCAUUGGUGUCUGCUGAGCCCACAGCUGAGGCUGAUCUCAGGAACAAUAUGCUGUUUUUCUCCCUCCUGUCGGGGACACUUGGGCAUUUGGCAGUCAUGUUCCCAUCAUCAUUAAGAGCAAUGGCAGGAGAACAAACCCACUGAGAAGCAGUUGUUAUAGAGGCAAAAUGGGUCUGUGAGAGUAAUUAGGGAGAGGAGAGAAUCUUAACCUUAUAAUCAAGAGGGGUGUGGAGUCUGGAUUGAAACAAAUCAUAAAUAACUACAGUAAGUCUCCAAAGACCUCAAGAAGAAAUCAAGGAAACCUGGAUAGUAGAUCAGGGAAAGUCGUUCUCUCUCUGUUUUUCAUAGGUGAUAUAAGUUAUACUACAGACUCUUGAGUCCCAGAGACUUUGAGCCUACUGAGCUAGGGACGGUUUCACAAAAACUUCACCACAAGGUUAUUUUUAUGACAGCAGGUGUGUCUAAGAGCAUCACAGGUGUGGCUCAUUCACAGCGAAACCCAUACACCUAAAACACCCAAGGGAAUGGCUUCCUCCAAUCUGUUUAAGCUCCUGCCUCUGCCUCUUUUCCUAACAGUUCUGACACCCCUGUUAGCAUAGGCUUGCUCCCGGACCCUUUUAAUCUCUGAAGAUGACGUGCUAUCUUCCCACAUGGGCAUAUGAAGAUACGGCUCCAGGAUCUUGUCAAAAUGGCUGAGGAAGAAUGUUCUGGUCUUGACCUCCUUCUGUGACCUGUUGAGCAGGAUACUAAAAUGCUCUUAGUCAGCAUUUCAAAGAAAUGAUUACAAGUUAGAUAUUUACUUCAAAAGGUUUGGUUCUUCUAGGAGCAAAGAACACUGAGUUAUGAGGUCACGUUCAGUAGCCUAGUUGUGAAGAUUGCAGAUAUGGAAAAGCACACCUGCUCUUGACACUAAAGGAGAGGUGUGUGUGCAUGCAUGUGUGUGUGUGUGAGUGAGUGUGUGUGUGUAUCUAACCAUUUGAUUUCUCGAAAUAAAGUAUGGGACAAA